AAAGCAACACAAAUCAUAUUUUUUGUUUGUUUACAAAUGAAAAAUGUGGAGUUGAGCCUAUUUCUUCUGGCCUCUUUUUUGGGGUUUAGGGGAUGGCUUGAAAUAUAGAAGGACGGGGCCUUGGGUAAAACCAGGCUUCCUCAGAUCAAACAAUUUCAAUACUUGAGCAAAUAAUAGUUAAUGCUUUUUAUUAAGCGUUAUUCUUUUUGCUCGGUAGUCUGAUCUGGGCAUUUUUGGCGUCCUCACACUUUUUCUCACUCUAAUUAUUUAUAUAAUGGAGAGAGAGGGAGGGAAAAUCUAAUUUUGACGAAGCGAGGGUAAAACUUCGCUUCCGACCU
rnacentral:misc_RNA from 1 species